ensembl:lncRNA
AUCUCUGGUUGGAGAUCCCUCCUUGGUGUAGCUUUCCCCUGUGAACCUGGAAUCUUCUGAAGCAGAAAUACCUGUGCCGAGGUCAUAAAAUUCACUGCAUCUUGCAGAAGUAGUUUUCCUGUACGAAAUAUUUAGAAUAAUUCCCAAUCCAAUGUAUAAUUUCAGAUUCUAUCUGUAAAUAAUAUAAAGUCUGACAAGGGCUUGAAAAACCUGAACUUGUACUUUGGAAUGCCUAAGAAAAUGGGUGACAUUUAAAAUGCACAGCAAGAGAUACACAGGAAAACAGUUAUUUCUGGAUAUCGGUAUACAGAACGAUUUUCUUAAAUACAGCAUUCUUUGCCUUUGGGAAGGUGUUAAAAAUGAUUUCGAAUUAGCUGCAAUAGAGAAGAGUAAUUUUAGCAACAGGCCCAUGUACAGAUGUAAUGUGAACAGUGUCUGGGGAGAAGAGGAAAAAAGGGUGGCUCAAUCAUACAUCCCAGUGCUUAAGCACUGCAGCAAAUAGUGCUGAUGGAGCUGUGCGAGAGAGAGGCUUUCACUUUCCCGUGGCAAAUCUCUGUUUUAGCAACUGCAGGCAAAAAGGAUCAAAUAUUUACCUUGGUAUUUAGCAAAAUAAACUCAAGUUCUAAAG